GACGAACGCUGGCGGCGUGCCUAACACAUGCAAGUCGAACGGGGGUAUUAUUUCGAUGAAUACCUUAGUGGCGAACGGGUGAGUAACGCGUGAGCAACCUAUCCUUAAGAGGGGGAUAACAUCUGGAAACAGAUGCUAAUACCGCAAUAAGACCACACUGCCGCAUGGCAGAGGGGUCAAAGGAGCAAUCCGUUUAAGGAGGGGCUCGCGUCCCAUUAGAUAGUUGGUGAGGUAACAGCUCACCAAGUCAGCGAUGGGUAGCCAAGCUGAGAGGCUGAUCGGCCACACUGGAACUGAGACACGGUCCAGACUCCUACGGGAGGCAGCAGUGGGGAAUAUUGGGCAAUGGGGGGAACCCUGACCCAGCAACGCCGCGUGAGGGAAGAAGGCCUUCGGGUUGUAAACCUCUGUCAUUAGGGAAGAAGAAAGUGACGGUACCUAAUGAGGAAGCCCCGGCUAACUACGUG
rnacentral:rRNA from 1 species